rnacentral:rRNA from 1 species
CACGUACCGUGAGGGAAAGUUGAAAAGCACUCUGAAGAGAGAGUGAAAAGUACGUGAAACUGUUGAGGGGGAAUUGAAGGGAACGUUAUUGUGUUCAUUGCCGUCAAUUACAUUGAUGGCUUGCGAACUGUGGUGUUGCUUUUGAAAGCCUUUGAUAAUGGCUGCAGUCACCAAUCGUUUUUCGAACCUUUGGUUGAUGUAGGCCUUGAACUUGGAUUAGAUACAUCCUUGAAUUGUGCAAGUAGAAUCAACAUCAUGAUCAGUGUUCUCUACAACCCGUCUUGAAACACGGACCAAGGAGUUUGAGUUGCUCGCAAGUGAUUGUGCUUCUUGAAAGCAUACACGCGGAAUGAAAGUAAAUAUCGCAUUGCUUCGGCUUUGUGAUUACUAUGUGGUGAUAGCACUAGAACAGUGUCUGGCAACCACGGGCGGUCUAACCACUUCGGUGUGUGAUCGACCUUUAGCGAGUAGCUCAAGACCCGAAAGAUGGUGAUCUAUGCUCGGGCAGGGCGAAGCCACGGGAAACCAUGGUGGAGGCCCGAAGCGGUUCUGACGUGCAAAUCGAUCGUCUGACCUGAGUAUAGGGGCGAAAGACUAAUCGAACCAUCUAGUAGCUGGUUUCCUCCGAAGUUUCCCUCAGGAUAGCGAAGGCUUAUGCAAAUCUGCGAAAGCAGUUUCAUUGGGUAAAGCGAAUGAUUAGAGGUCUGGGGGAAUUUACUUCCUUCACCUAUUCUCAAACUUUAAAUCGGUGAGAUGUCCUUGUGACUUAAUUGCACUCGGACUAUGAAUGCAAGCCUUCAGUGGGCCGUUUUUGGUAAGCAGAACCGGCGAUGUGGGAUGAACCAAAUGUUGGGUUAAGGCGCCUAACUACUUGCUCAUGAGUAACCACAAAAGGUGUUGAUUGAUAUUGACAGCAGGACGGUGGCCAUGGAAGUUGGAAUCCGCUAAGGAGUGUGUAACAACUCACCUGCCGAAUCAAUCAGCCCUGAAAAUGGAUUGCACUAGAGCUCGUGGCCUAUACCCAGCCGUGAGUGCCAAUUUCUGUCAAGUCGCAGCCUUUUUGGAUGUGCAAGAUGGAAUAUGAUUGAUGCGUAAUCAUUGAUUGCGGGAUUAAGCAUUCAUGAGUAGGAGGACGCAUAAUUGCGUUAAAGGAUACCGUGAGCGUGUUCCCUAAGCGAUUACUGGCGCAUAUCUUGGUGGAAGUAGCAAGUACUCAAAUGAGAACUUUGAGGACUGAAGUGGAGAAAGGGUUCCAA